GACGAACGCUGGCGGCGUGCUUAACACAUGCAAGUCGAACGGAAAGGCCUGCUUUCCCUUGUGGAUUGCGGGUACUCGAGUGGCGAACGGGUGAGUAACACGUGAGUGAUCUGCCCCCAACUUGGGUAUAAGCCUGGGAAACUGGGUCUAAUUCCCGAUAGGACUGCAGGGUGGUGCCUGUGGUGGAAAACGAUUUUCUAGUGGUUGGGGAUGAGCUCGCGGCCUAUCAGCUUGUUGGUGGGGUAAUGGCCUACCAAGGCGGCGACGGGUAGCCGGCCUGGGAGGGUGGACGGGCACAUUGGGACUGAGAUACGGCCCAGACUCCUACGGGAGGCAGCAGUGGGGAAUAUUGCACAAUGGGCGGAAGCCUGAUGCAGCGACGCCGCGUGGGGGAUGACGGCCUUCGGGUUGUAAACUCCUUUCGACCGCGAGGAAGCCACCUGGUUGGAAGGGUGGUGACGGUAGUGGUAGAAGAAGCACCGGCUAACUACGUG
rnacentral:rRNA from 1 species